AUCUAAAUAGUUUAAUAAAAAUAUUGAUUUGUGAUGUCAAAGUUAUAAUUUGUGUUUUAGAUU
rnacentral:tRNA from 1 species